rnacentral:sRNA from 1 species
GGAUUACGGUGGCGGCCUA